AUUUCCAGUGUAGUGAUGCUGUUUGCAAAGCUGACCUUACAGGUGACAUUGGUGCCGUGGUGUUUAGCUGAGGGGUUAAAGGUCAAAGUUGAGCUGUGUCUCUGAGUGACAGCAGUCAGAUCCUCAGUCUUGAAAGCAGUGAUGUUUCCUGUGGUGUGAGAGUCCGCCUCUCCUGCUCCUCUCCACAUCCAGGUGAUUUCAGGGUCAGAUCCAGAGCAGAGACCAGGAGCAGUGCAGGUCAGUGUGGUCUGCUGUCCCUCUGUCAGAGGAGGAAUCAUCACUGUGGGCCUCUGGGUCAGACCU